GCCGUAAUGCCAGAGCUUGGUCUAAUGGAACGGUCUGCAAAACCGCUAUUCGUAGGUUCAAAUCCUACUUACGGCU
rnacentral:tRNA from 1 species